GGGCGGAGGGGGGGGAUAGAGAGAAAGAGUGAGUGAGGUGACAGGAGUGAAAGAGAAGACAAAUCCAGGAGUUAUUGUGGAGGAAAAGGCGGCCACGCUUCACUAGCUUGUCUCAGGGACGUUGAAAGGGAUUCCGCCUCCUUUUCGCACAAUACAAAUCUAAUAAGAACGUUACAAAAAGCGCAGACGCCGUCGGCCUUGCGGCAGCAGACCGAAUCUUCCGUCUUAUUGCAAUAAUUCACUUCUAUCUAUCCACUGCUGAAGCCUUUUAUAAGAUUCCUAUUGAAUCUGUGAGGGGGGGGGGGAAUAUGCCAUUGCUUGGUUAUUAAAAGUUAAGAAAGAUUUCAAUUUUGGGUGCGCUGACAAGCAGAGUCACCAAAUGCUCCACAAGAGUACUGUGACUUGAGGAUAAUCCGUAAAAAGUUGUCCUUCAUAGACUGACUUCAAUUAAUUUUCUGUUUGCGCUCUUCAAACGGCACAAGUUUGAAGCGGAAUUCCUGUGGGCUGAAAUGUGGACAUUUUUCGGCAAACUCGGAUGGCGCUUGACAAAGUGUCGCGGGUCUUGUUCCUAAUGAAUCAGUCAAGUGAUGCCUCAAAACAAAACACAAACUACGAAAGUAAAAGUAAAGACACCGAGAUCAAUAGUGGAAUUUAACUUCAUGUGAUCAGGCUUCUUCACAAAAAGAAUUGAGGUAAAGACUUUGCCGCGUGAAACUAUUCGGAUAAGCGACACGUUCUCUUCUAGCCUUCGACAUGGCUAGCAUGUUAGCAAAAAGAAUCGAGGUAAAGAGUUUGUCGCGUGAAACUAUUCGGAUAAGCGACACGUUCUCUUCUAGCCAUCGACAUGGCUAGCAUGUUAGCAAAAAGAAUCGAGGUAAAGACUUUGUCGCGUGAAACUAUUCGGAUAAGCGACACGUUCUCUUCUAGCCAUCGACAUGGCUAGCAUGUUAGCUAGCGCAUUUCAAGUGGCCUUACGCCAAACAAGAAUAUUUGUACAGCACGGGGAAAAAUAAGUGGCUAAUAAUCAUUAGCCUCAGGCUAACGCGACAACAAACGGCAUUUUGUGGCGUAUGAUUUGCAUUGAUCAACCCAUUACCGUUGCAUUUGUCUGCGGUGUCCGUUUCUUCAAAAGAAGACGAAAUAAUGUUGUUGCUCUUUCCUAAAAGAGCGGGAUUCGAACUGAGAUUUUUUUUAUUACGCUCUACAUUAUUUUAUCCAUCCGAGAAUCUUCCGGGAGAACGUGCUGCCGGCAGUUUGUCGUGCCUUCAUUUUACAUCUAUUCCCGAUCAUAUAAAAGAAAAGCAGUUUUAUGUUUCGCGAUUUGUUUUCCGAUUCGGUUGCUCUCUUUCACGCCGUCUAGCAAGAGCGGCAAAAGCCGACUUGUGUGAAAAGGUGAAAGCAAUUUGUAACAUGCUAAUUCCGCAUUGCGAACACUGCACGUGUAAAAAAAAAAAGAAA